rnacentral:rRNA from 2 species
GGACUACAGGGGUAUCUAAUCCUGUUUGCUCCCCACGCUUUCGCACCUCAGCGUCAGUAUCAGGCCAGGUAGCCGCCUUCGCCACUGAUGUUCCUUCCGAUCUCUACGCAUUUCACCGCUACACCGGAAAUUCCACUACCCUCUUCUGUACUCUAGGUCAACAGUUUUACGUGCAGUUCCCAGGUUAAGCCCAGGGAUUUCACACAUAACUUAUUGUCCCGCCUACGUGCCCUUUACGCCCAGUAAUUCCGAUUAACGCUUGCACCCUCUGUCUUACCGCGGCUGCUGGCAC